rnacentral:misc_RNA from 1 species
CCUAGAGUUGUAGGCUUUGCCUGCUAUCUCUUACCCAUGUCUUUUGAGUACUUACGCUUCCUCGGCGGGUCCGCCCGCCGAUUGGACAAUUUAAACCAUUUGCAGUUGCAAUCAGCGUCUGAAAAACUUUAAUAGUUA